rnacentral:rRNA from 1 species
UACGUAGGGUGCAAGCGUUGUCCGGAAUUAUUGGGCGUAAAGAGCUCGUAGGCGGUUUGUCGCGUCUGCCGUGAAAACCCGAGGCUCAACCUCGGGCGUGCGGUGGGUACGGGCAGGCUAGAGUGUGGUAGGGGAGACUGGAACUCCUGGUGUAGCGGUGAAAUGCGCAGAUAUCAGGAGGAACACCGGUGGCGAAGGCGGAUCUCUGGGCCGAUACUGACGCUGAGGAGCGAAGGCAUGGGGAGCGAACAGG